GGGGGUUUUAAAGUACUGCUGGUGUAGAGAUGAAAUUCUGUCAUACCUCUUUUCGAAAGAAGAAUAACGGCACAGGUAUAGGCGAAGGCAUCCCCUUAUGGGAUAACUGACGUUGAGGGACGAAGGCUUCGUGGAACAAACAGGAUUAGGUACCCUAGUAGUUGAAGCAGAAAAUGAUGAAUGUCAUAGAUUAGACGUCUAAGUUUAUUCUAUAAAUGAAAGUGUAAGCAUUCCACCUCAGGAGUAAUUUGGCAACAUUGGAAUUGAAAUCAUUAGACCGUUUCUGAAACCAGUAGUGAAGUAUGUUGUUUAAUUUGAUGAUCCGCAAAAAACCUUACCACAAUUUGAAUAUUUAUAUUGAACAUAUAUCUACAAGCGUUGCACGGCUGUCUUCAGUUAAUGUCGUGAGACUGGUUAGUUCCAUUAAAUUAACGUAAACCCUUACUUUAUUUUUUAUAUAGAGUAGUUCCCCGCUAGAUUGGAUAUGAU
rnacentral:rRNA from 1 species